rnacentral:rRNA from 1 species
UGGGGAAUAUUGGGCAAUGGGUGAAAGCCUGACCCAGCAACGCCGCGUGAGGGAAGAAGGUUUUCGGAUUGUAAACCUCUGUCCUUGGGGACGAAAAAAAUGACGGUACCCAAGGAGGAAGCCCCGGCUAACUACGUGCCAGCAGCCGCGGUAAUACGUAGGGGGCGAGCGUUGUCCGGAAUUACUGGGCGUAAAGGGUGCGUAGGCGGUUGUCUAAGUCAGAUGUGAAAUCCCCGGGCUCAACUCGGGUGGUGCAUUUGAAACUGGGCAACUAGAGUGCAGGAGAGGGAAGCGGAAUUCCUAGUGUAGCGGUGAAAUGCGUAGAUAUUAGGAGGAACACCUGUGGCGAAGGCGGCUUUCUGGACUGUAACUGACGCUGAGGCACGAAAGCGUGGGGAGCAAACAG